AGUGAACGCUGGCGGUAGGCCUAACACAUGCAAGUCGAACGGCCGCACAGUAAGCUUUUGCUCUUACGGGUGGCGAGUGGCGGACGGGUGAGGAAUACAUCGGCAUCUACUUUUUCGUGGGGGAUUACGUAGGGACACUUACGCUAAUACCUCAUACGACCUACGGGUGAAAGCAGGGGAUCUUCGGACUUUGCGCGAUUGAAUUAGCCGAUGUCGGAUUAGCUAGUUGGCUAGGUAAAGGCCCACCAAGGCGACGAUCCGUAGCUGAUCUGAGAGGGUGAUCAGCCACACUGGAACUGAGACACGGUCCAGACUCCUACGGGAGGCAGCAGUGGGGAAUAUUGGACAAUGGGCGCAAGCCUGAUCCAGCCAUGCCGCGUGGGUGAAGAAGGCCUUCGGGUUGUAAAGCCCUUUUGUUGGGAAAGAAAAGCAGCAGGUUAAUACCCCGCUGUUCUGACGGUACCCAAAGAAUAAGCACCGGCUAACUUCGUG
rnacentral:rRNA from 1 species